GACGAACGCUGGCGGCGUGCUUAACACAUGCAAGUCGAACGGAAAGGCCCUGCUUUUGUGGGGUGCUCGAGUGGCGAACGGGUGAGUAACACGUGAGUAACCUGCCCUUGACUUUGGGAUAACUUCAGGAAACUGGGGCUAAUACCGGAUAGGAGCUCCUGCUGCAUGGUGGGGGUUGGAAAGUUUCGGCGGUUGGGGAUGGACUCGCGGCUUAUCAGCUUGUUGGUGGGGUAGUGGCUUACCAAGGCUUUGACGGGUAGCCGGCCUGAGAGGGUGACCGGCCACAUUGGGACUGAGAUACGGCCCAGACUCCUACGGGAGGCAGCAGUGGGGAAUAUUGCACAAUGGGCGGAAGCCUGAUGCAGCAACGCCGCGUGCGGGAUGACGGCCUUCGGGUUGUAAACCGCUUUCGCCUGUGACGAAGCGUGAGUAACGGUAAUGGGUAAAGAAGCACCGGCUAACUACGU
rnacentral:rRNA from 1 species